UGCAAGUCGAGCGAAUGGAUUAAGAGCUUGCUCUUAUGAAGUUAGCGGCGGACGGGUGAGUAACACGUGGGUAACCUGCCCAUAAGACUGGGAUAACUCCGGGAAACCGGGGCUAAUACCGGAUAACAUUUUGAACCGCAUGGUUCGAAAUUGAAAGGCGGCUUCGGCUGUCACUUAUGGAUGGACCCGCGUCGCAUUAGCUAGUUGGUGAGGUAACGGCUCACCAAGGCAACGAUGCGUAGCCGACCUGAGAGGGUGAUCGGCCACACUGGGACUGAGACACGGCCCAGACUCCUACGGGAGGCAGCAGUAGGGAAUCUUCCGCAAUGGACGAAAGUCUGACGGAGCAACGCCGCGUGAGUGAUGAAGGCUUUCGGGUCGUAAAACUCUGUUGUUAGGGAAGAACAAGUGCUAGUUGAAUAAGCUGGCACCUUGACGGUACCUAACCAGAAAGCCACGGCUAACUACGUGCCAGCAGCCGCGGUAAUACGUAGGUGGCAAGCGUUAUCCGGAAUUAUUGGGCGUAAAGCGCGCGCAGGUGGUUUCUUAAGUCUGAUGUGAAAGCCCACGGCUCAACCGUGGAGGGUCAUUGGAAACUGGGAGACUUGAGUGCAGAAGAGGAAAGUGGAAUUCCAUGUGUAGCGGUGAAAUGCGUAGAGAUAUGGAGGAACACCAGUGGCGAAGGCGACUUUCUGGUCUGUAACUGACACUGAGGCGCGAAAGCGUGG
rnacentral:rRNA from 1 species